GCUAAAUAUGCAGCUCCUAAACUCAGACUAUUCUGUGUCUUAAUCCAAGAGAAGUCCCAACCACUAUCCCUCAUUUUGAAAUGAAAGAGCCACAAAAGGAACGGUUUAUCUACUGAUGCCAGACCAACAUUGCACAGAAUUGUGUCUCAACCCAAGCAUAUCUCUCUACAGAUGUUGAAGGAAGGGUGUCUGUGUACCCACUGAUUCUUCUGCUGAUGAACAAUAGCAUGAUUGUUCCAGGUGAUUCUUAUUGAUGACUUUCAGAAGCAGCACAGCAUGUCUCCUAAUAUGGAAUGGUUUGCUAUGCUAUUGCAUGGCUGAAAGGGUUGACUGGACCACCAUGAGGAUGGAAAAUUUUUCCUGAAGAAAUAAUA
rnacentral:lncRNA from 1 species